CAGCAGCCGCGGGAAAACGAAGGGGGCUAGCGUUGUUCGGAUUUACUGGGCGUAAAGCGCACGUAGGCUGAUCGAUCAGUCAGGGGUGAAAUCCCAGAGCUCAACUCUGGAACUGCCUUUGAUACUGUCGAUCUGGAGUAUGGAAGAGGUGAGUGGAAUUCCGAGUGUAGAGGUGAAAUUCGUAGAUAUUCGGAGGAACACCAGUGGCGAAGGCGGCUCACUGGUCCAUUACUGACGCUGAGGUGCGAAAGCGUGGGGAGCAAACAGGAUUAGAUACCCGAGUAGUCCAUGUCUCUUAUAC
rnacentral:rRNA from 1 species